CGACAGCUGUUCCUCAUGCCACCCUGAGACUGGCUGGUGUGAUUUUAUGCUGUCGAAGAGAAAUGUCAAAUUGCCUUCACCCACUGUAGCGGCACUGCCGGUUGCAGGCAUCCUGCUGACAAUGGACUUGCGGAUUUGUACAUUA